rnacentral:rRNA from 1 species
GAUGAACGCUAGCGGGAGGCUUAACACAUGCAAGUCGAGGGGCAGCACGAGGUAGCAAUACUUUGGUGGCGACCGGCGUACGGGUGAGUAACGCGUAUGCAACCUACCCUGUACAGGGGGAUAGCCCGGAGAAAUUCGGAUUAAUACCCCAUAAAGAUAUUCUUAGGCAUCUUUGGAUAUUUAAAGUUUCGACGGUACGGGAUGGGCAUGCGUAACAUUAGCUAGUUGGUAGGGUAACGGCCUACCAAGGCGACGAUGUUUAGGGGUCCUGAGAGGGUGAUCCCCCACACUGGUACUGAGACACGGACCAGACUCCUACGGGAGGCAGCAGUGGGGAAUAUUGGUCAAUGGGCGUAAGCCUGAACCAGCCAUCCCGCGUGCAGGAAGAAGGCGCUAGGCGUCGUAAACUGCUUUUCCGGAGGAAGAAAACCCCUGACGUGUCGGGGCUUGCCGGUACUCUGGGAAUAAGCAUCGGCUAACUCCGUGCCAGCAGCCGCCGUAAGAC